GAGUCUUCAGAGUUGAUCUCCCAGGUGCAUAUACUGCUUCAAAGCAUCUUUGUCUUCGACGCUGAGAUUCUGGAGUGCCCACCUCUCGAUGGCCUCUAUUGCAUCUUUAUUAGUGAAUGGUUCCUGCUGAAAUCUAACGAUAUGGUGGUAAGAGUUGUUAGCAUGGAUGGAUAAGACACAAAAUUUAUGUAAACAAAAAGAAAAGUUCAGUUUCCAUGGGUAACUUACUUUUCUUGAAACCUCUGCAGGUCCUUGCUUGGAUUUGUUAUCAGCGGAAAAAGGAAAGAAAAAAACUAUUCUCAGCGCUUGACUCUGCUUUCAGCAAUGUGUGUCGGAUGCACCGGAAGUA